rnacentral:lncRNA from 1 species
GUUUAUUUUAUAAUUGUGAUAGCAUUUAUUUUUUUAAUAGUUAGUUAUUAAUACGCCUAAUUAUGUAUGUAUGUAUGUAUGUAUGUAUGUAUGUAUGUAUUUUUUUUUUUUUUUUUUUUUUUCCUUUCAGGAUUUAAACGAAAUGGCAGGUGUGAUGGAAGAUACCGAGAUAAGUGCACCUAAACCCAAACAGUUUUACAACAGCAGUUCUCAUUCUUUGGAGUUAGUAAAUAAAAAAAGAAUUAGAAAAAACAAACUCUCACAACAACCCACAAGCGUUUUUAACGCUGAAAACGCUACAAUAUGGGAUUUAGUACUAAAAAACUGUAAAAAAAAUAGUAGAAAAUCAGGAAGAAGAAAAGCAAAAAAGACAAACAUAACUGAUGAUACCACUAACCCUAAUGGUGCAGAGUUAGGUAAAGCACAAAAUGGAACUAAUUCAAACUGCAUAAUAUUAAAUGAGAACCUGAAUAAUGAAAAUCGUUUAAGUGUUGGUAAAGCAAGUGGUAACAAUAUACAUAAUGAUGAAGACGUUUUUAAUUGUCUGUUUUUUGAUACAGAAGAAUCUAAUAAAGCUUUAAAUGAUGAUGCAGGUAAGCAUGUCGAAAUAAAUGGAGAUGUAAAAAUGGGUGCGGAUGCCGAAGUGGGUGCGGAUGUCGAAGUGGGUACGGAUGCCGAAGUGGGUACGGAUGCCGAAGUGGGUGCAGAUGAUGCCAAAAUGGGUACGGAUGAUGCCAAAAUGGGUGCAGAUACCGACAAUAAAGUUCUUACCAACACAAACAAACCCAACGAAACGAAUGGACUAAGCGAUGAAGAAAGUAAAAGUAACUAUGAUGAUAUAUUAGACAUUUUAAACAUGUGUACUACUAAUUAUACAAGCAAAUUAAACAUUAAUCAGAACGGAGAAAUAAUAUAUGAUGAAAAAAAGAAGGCCAGCUCCAAUUAUAUUUUAAACAAUAAUGAUAAUCAUAAUAGUAUGAGUUUAUUAAUGAAAACUAAAGAUAAAGUUAAUGAAAAUUUAAAUAAAUGCCAAAUAGAAAAAUAUACAAAUGCUUAUAAAAAAACCAAACUAUGCAAAUGGUCGGAAGAAGAAACCAAAAAAUUUUAUGAAGCUAUUGAAAUGUUUGGAGUAGACUUGAUGAUGAUAAAAGCUUUAUUACCUUCUUUUUCUGAUAAACAAAUUCGUGAUAAAUAUAAAAAAGAAAAAAAAAAAAAUCUACAAAAAAUUGAAGAAGCUAUAAAAAAAAAUAAAGAAAUUAAUUUGGAUUUAUAUGAAAAAGAGCACGGCAAAUUAGACGAAAAGAUGAUACAUCACGAUUAUUAUGA